rnacentral:rRNA from 1 species
AUUGAACGCUGGCGGCAGGCCUAACACAUGCAGGUCGAGCGGAUGAAGGGAGCUUGCUCCUGGAUUCAGCGGCGGACGGGUGAGUAAUGCCUAGGAAUCUGCCUGGUAGUGGGGGAUAACGUCCGGAAACGGGCGCUAAUACCGCAUACGUCCUGAGGGAGAAAGUGGGGGAUCUUCGGACCUCACGCUAUCAGAUGAGCCUAGGCCGGAUUAGCUAGUUGGUGGGGUAAAGGCCUACCAAGGCGACGAUCCGUAACUGGUCUGAGAGGAUGAUCAGUCACACUGGAACUGAGACACGGUCCAGACUCCUACGGGAGGCAGCAGUGGGGAAUAUUGGACAAGGGGCGAAAGCCUGAUCCAGCCAUGCCGCGUGUGUGAAGAAGGUCUUCGGAUUGUAAAGCACUUUAAGUUGGGAGGAAGGGCAGUAAGUUAAUACCUUGCUGUUUUGACGUUACCAACAGAAUAAGCACCGGCUAACUUCGUG